AGAGUUUGAUCAUGGCUCAGAGCGAACGUCAGCGGCACGCCUAACACAUGCAAGUCGCACGAGAGUGGAGCAAUCCAUGAAAGUGGCGCACGGGUGCGUAACACGUAGAUAAUCUGCCCUUUGGCGGGGGAUAACGUUCCGAAAGGAGCGCUAAUACCGCAUACAGCAGUUUCUGGUUCGCCAGAGAUUGGCAAGGUUGGGACCAGCAAUGGCCAAUCGCCGAAGGAGGAGUCUGCGGCCCAUCAGCUAGUUGGUAAGGUAACGGCUUACCAAGGCAGAGACGGGUAGCUGGUCUGAGAGGAUGAUCAGCCACACUGGUACUGGAACACGGACCAGACUCCUACGGGAGGCAGCAGUGGGGAAUCUUGGUCAAUGGGCGCAAGCCUGAACCAGCGAUGCCGCGUGAGUGAUGAAGGCCUUCGGGUUGUAAAGCUCUGUGGGGAGGGACGAAAUCCUCGGUUCUAACAGGACUGAAUUUGACGGUACCUCCUUAGCAAGCACCGGCUAACUCUGUGCCAGCAGCCGCGGUAAUUC
rnacentral:rRNA from 1 species